ensembl:lncRNA
CACAAGAUCCAGGGGGGGUGGUUGGAUCUAGAUCCAACCACUCCCACCUUACAUGUACCUAAACCUACCCCUGACCCCUAAACCUACCAUUCUCUACCUCCUAGAUGUGGAUCCAACCACGCCCCCAGGAUCUUUUGGUCUGCAGCGAGCCCAACUUGACAGUAGUUGAAGCAGGCUAUAUUCAUAGCAAUAUAAAAAUGUCUUAAACAAAACUCGGGAUACAUGAAUCACGGGACAGAACCACCAAAUAGAAUGCAACAAUAACGGACAACUGAACCAAACACGGCUUAAAUACACAGAGACCUGAUCAGGGUGAACAGAAAAAGGUGUGAACUAAUCUGAAAGCAUAGAAAUUAACCAGUGGUGGGAAAAAAUGGGCAUGAAAGAAACGUCUUUGUCAAACUCAGGAACAAGGAAAACUAGAACAAAAAAAACUGACUGAGGGAUCCACCACAGAGAAGGUGAUGGAAGGAGGAGACAGGGCAGAAGCAGAGGCAGGAGGAGUAAGGGCGGAAAUGAACACAGGAGAAACCAGGGUGGAAGCAGAGUCAGGUGGAGCUAGAGCGGAGAUGGAGGGAGAAGUCAGUGUGGAACUCCUGUCAUAAGAUUCAGUAUACAGACCCACAGCAGAGUCGAGGGAGGGUGGACCCCUACCAGGCAACACCAGGGAGACAACAGACGGAGAGGGAGCCAAAGGGGGUGGAGACCCAGGCGAAGCUGAGGAGACAGAAACCUGGGUCUGGAGGGCCAAGGGGGAGCAACAGUUUCAUGGGACCUAGGCCGAGACAGUGGUCGGCAGGCAUGGGCAUAGCCGGUGUAACCAAGGAUCAAGGAGGAGAUGGAGGAAAGAAGGAACCCGACAGAGCCAGAGUGAUGGAGGGACAAGGUGCAGCCAAAGGUGUGGAAAGACCAUGGUGGAGGCAGGCUGACAACUGCCUAAGGUGGAGCUGAAGGGACAAUGGAGCCCGGUGGAAUCCGAAGACUGACAGAAUCUCCAGGGACACAGGAGAUUCAGAGUAGGGCAGAAACACAAACUCAAAGUGUGGUGCCAGGUGAAACAUGGGUAAUGAAACUUGUAGAAAACACUCACUCUCUCAGUCCGUUAGCACUCCAUCUUCUGCCGCUGCUGAGGGGGUAGGGCUCCAUAACAUCCCCCUGUACUCCACCAGUAAUCCCACUGGCACAGGCACUUUUGCCAGCUCACGCACCUGAUCAGACUUCUUUGAUUUGGUCAGACUUCAUGUUCUGGCUUCAGCUCAGGCUCUCCUAUUGUGGCAGGCUUGGGCUCAUUGUCUGCGGUGGUCUCAGGCAUCACUGGUGGUGGUAGUGGCCGAAGCGCCAACUUCCUCCCCACUCUUAUAGAUGGUGAAGGGGGCACCGUUGUGGAGGAGUAUCCACUCCACUUACUCCAAGAAAGUCCCUAGAGGCUCAUUUCCGGGCACACGCAUUACCUGGUUACCCUUUGAGAGAAGAAGGAUUUUCUUUGCUGGUAGAUCCAUUAUAAUUUGGUCCGUUAUUCUGUCACAGGUGGUGGCAAAAGAAGUAGUUGAAGCAGGAUCUAUUUACAACAAUAUUAAAAUGUAUUAAACAAAACUCAGGAUGCAUGAAACACAGGACAGAACCAAGUAAAACACAAC